rnacentral:snRNA from 1 species
GUGUUUCCUUUGGUAGUACAUAUAUUAAUAAGUUGGAGAUUCACAUGGCUUCUGCCCAAGGAUAACACACAAAUUUGUGAAGCCUUCCAUAUUUUU